CCUACGGGUGGCAGCAGUGAGGAAUAUUGGUCAAUGGACGAGAGUCUGAACCAGCCAAGUAGCGUGAAGGAUGACUGCCCUAUGGGUUGUAAACUUCUUUUAUAUGGGAAUAAAAUGUUCCACGUGUGGGAUUUUGUAUGUACAAUAUGAAUAAGGAUCGGCUAACUCCGUGCCAGCAGCCGCGGUAAUACGGAGGAUCCGAGCGUUAUCCGGAUUUAUUGGGUUUAAAGGGAGCGUAGUUGGGUUGUUAAGUCAGUUGUGAAAGUUUGCGGCUCACCCGUAAAAUUGCAGUUGAAACUGGCAGUCUUGAGUACAGUAGAGGUGGGCGGAAUUCGUGGUGUAGCGGUGAAAUGCUUAGAUAUCACGAAGAACUCCGAUUGCGAAGGCAGUUCACUGGACUGCAACUGACACUGAGGCUCGAAAGUGUGGGUAUCAAACAGGAUUAGAUACCCCAGUAGUC
rnacentral:rRNA from 1 species